UUGCUCACUUUGGCAGCACACUUAUUAAAAUUGGAAUGAUAUAGACAAGAUUAGCAUGGCCCAUGCACAAGGAUGACAUGUAAAUUCAUGAAACAUUAAAAAAAUGU